CCGGGAGCCGGAGGGGGCGUGGCCACUGUGUCCCCCAUCCCCCCACUUCCACACCGCCCCCCGAGGCCAGGAGCGAGAAGGACCCCGAAGAGCCCAAGCAGAUUUUGGCAGUUUCCUGCCAGAAUCACCACUUCUGGUGAAACGGUGGCUGAAAGGAAAAACAUGCAGUGCUGGCAACACGCAGAGCCAACUCUUUUCAUCUGGAAGUACCUUCGUGGAAAUACCGCCACCUGAAUGGAAACACAGUUUGACCACAAGGUGCCACCAGAAGUGACUGGGGUUGAUGGGGCCUAAGUCUUAGCCUGCCCCACACAUACUUGGUUCUCAAACACCCACCCACCCACCGGACACACUCUGCUUGACAUGGCUCUGGCUAAGGCAGGUCUUCUGGAAGCUUCAGCAUCUUAUCUCCUUCUGCACGAAGCCUCGGGCCUUUCCGGGGAAGAGCUGCUACAGUGGGGAAUGAGAACAAGAUGUGACUUGCUCGUUUACCUCCACCGUAAACCUCUCUUAUUUGAACAACCAUGUCUACAGGAGCAGCUUACCUAACCCUCUGGACUUUAGUUUCUUCUUGGGCAAAGUAGAAACAACAUCCACCUUCAAGGGCCAUUGUGCCAAUUAAAUGAGAAAACCUCAGAGUCGUGUUUGACCCAGAAUAACAGGUCGGUGGGCUCCUUCCCUUUCUGGGGUCACCUAACAUCUUCCCCGCAGGUGACGUGGGGCGAGGAGUCCAUGAUGCUGAGAAGACAAGAAGGCAACCAACUGUGGACAAGAAAGGGUCCAGCCAAGGUCACAAGCCUUCCCCAGAACGGGAUCGUGCACAGAGGUAAGACACUCAGGAAGAGAGGAGUCAAGCUGCACACUUGGCAGCUAAGCCUCCAGCUCUGAGGCAGUGGAGACUCCAAAUGCUCGUCAAAAAGCCUUGAUGUAAUUUUUUUUUUUUUCAUUCCACACAUUAAAAUGAAAAUGACAGCAUUCACGCUAUCCCCACACAUGCCGGUGAAUAACUCACUUCAUGAUGGAUAUGGGUCCCUGUGACUCUGGUAUAGACAACAAAGCAAACCAGAGAUCAGAAGUGAAUUGGGGUUUAUGGCUAAUAUGGGAUACUCAUUUUAAAAUGGCAAAAUGGGGGAGGUCCUGUUGUGGUGCAUUGGAAACAAAUCCAACAAGGAUCCAUGAGGACUCAGGUUCGAUCCCUGGCCUCACUCAGUGGGUUCAGGAUCCAGCAUUGCCAUGACCUGUGGUGCAGGCGGCAGACAAAGCUUGGAUCCUUUGUAGCUGUGGCUGUGGUGUAGGCCGGCAGCUACAGCUCCAAUUCGACCCCUAGCCUGGGAACUUCCAUAUGCUGUGGGGGCAGCCCUAAAAACAAACAAACAAAACCCUGCAAAAUAAACUAACCUUAGCCAUUUUAGCUCUGUAUACACGUGCAUGAAUCUUCCUAAGGCACUAAAAUUAAUGUUUAAACUGCAUAUAUGUUGAGAAACACAAAGACAUUUGUUCUCACUGAUCUAUUCUGUCUCAGGGAAACGGUCAUAAGGCUCGAGCUGGCAAGCUGACCAUCGCUCGGUUAGACACCGCUGCCGGCGAGAAAGGUGAACCAGCCAGCCUCCAUCCAGCCACUCGUGGCGUUUUUUUGAAAUCCGUAUUAUAACAUGGGAAAUGCCUACAAUGUAGCACUAACUGAAAAGGGGACCAAACAGCAAACAUCAAUCUGGUUACAACUCUAUUAUUAAAAUAAGCACAUGGACGUUCUCUCGUGGUGCAGCAGGUUAGGGAUCCCGUGUUGUCUCUGCUUGGGUUGCUGCUAUGGUACAGGUUGAUGCCUGGCCCGGGGAACUUCUGCAUGCUGUAUAUACAUAAUAUAUAAUAAGCACACAUAAAAAAUACUGGAAGGAACUAUGCCAAAUGUCAAUAGUGAUUUUGUUUGGGUGGUAGAACUACUAAAAUAUUUUUCUUCUUUUUACCUUCUGCCUUUUUUAAAUGCCAGUAUUAUUUACUGACAGCAAAGUGCACAGGUUUUAAGGGUACGGUGAGUUCUGACAGGAGUUCCCGCCGUGGCACAAUGGGUUAAGAAUCCAAAUGCAGCAGCUUGGGUCACUGCAGAGACUCAGGUUCGACCCCUGGCCCAGUGCAGUGGGCUUAAAGGAUCUGGCGUUGCCACAACUGUGGUGUAGGUCACAGCUGCAGCUCAGAUUCCAUCCCUGAGCCGGACACUUCCAUAAGCUGUGGGUGCAGCCGUGAAAAAAAAAAGUUCUGACAAAUAGGUAUACCAACACCGAUAUCCCCAAAAGUCCCCUUGUGUGCUUAUCAAUCUCCCUCUCUGGCCAGUGGCUACUAUUCUGAUUUCUCUCUCCUCAGAGGGAGGAAUUAAAGAUACCUCCUGCCCAUUUUAGAGAUAGACGCGACAGGUUUUUGGAUUGGCCUCUGACCUGCUUUCGUGCUGCCUUGAGACUUUUUUUGAAGCGGGGAAGGAGCUAUUGAGGAAGAAGCCAGAAGCCCCCAGCAGGAGUGAGCACCGGGGCACCAGCAUCCCGCAGGAGACGUGUAUGAGCAAAAAUGGGGCCGAGAGAGGAGGCGGUGGCGGGGGACGAGCUGAAAAAGAGCUUACAAAUUGUGAAGAGAAAUCAUGGCAUUUAUUUCUAAAUGACAAGUCUUUAUCUUCCUCGCCCAGGCCUAUUUGUUGACAAGCCAUUCUGUCACAAUGUGUUGGUCAGACCCAGGGAGGCCCGGCGUUCUGGCGGGGCAUCAGGCCUUGAUCUUGUCUCCGGUGGAAUUCAGGAGGCUCCCCUGUAAGCAAUCAGCCUCCUAAUGGGCAGGAGGCACCUCUGGGAAUGGGAAUUUGACAAGGCUUGUCAAAGCUGUCAGGCAGCGGCAGAGUCUUUCUCAUUCUCCUGUUCCCACCCCGGGAGGGGAACAGCUCCGUGGGCUCUGCCAGUCCUUGCAGGACAAGAGCUGAAACCACAAUGAAACGCUGCUCCGACAUGAGCGGGGCAGACGCAUAAAUCCGUCACAUUAAAAAACAUCUGGAUGAACAAAACAGGAGCAGGCCAAGUGCACAGUGUACCUCGGGGCUGUGGGAACAGCCUAUGGGGAGCCCAGCUGAGUGAAGGACACCCCUUCCCCCCCCCCAUUCCCUAUCACUGGGCAGCCGGGAAUUAAAAUUGCCUAAGAAUCAAGCAGGUGGCAGGGGCCUCUCUGGCAGAUAAAGGUUAUCUAAGGAUAGGCUUUUCCCUGAGGCUGUUACGUUGUCUCCCUCAGCUCCCUGAGAAUUAAAUUCACAGGGGAAGCAGUCACACCCUUCCAAGAAAAGAGGGCCACUGGGCUGAGAGGCGCUGCAGGAGGAGCUGGGGCUGGAGGAGGCGGGGUGGGGGGCUCUCCUGGACCCAGGGCCUGGGUGACGAAGGCCUGGCCUUGCUUCCCCCCAGAGAGCCAGGGCAGCUGGAAGCCAGAGCAGGAUUGUCCUAGGCCUCGCCUCUGACUCCAGUUUAGUGCAAAACCAAGAAGAAUGGGGGCAGAGGGGAGGAGGUAGACAUUCCAUCAUCACAUGAUCGCAGGACCGGCCCUUCGGGACUUGAUGAAUGUCGGAAGAUGAGACGAGAUCUCAAGCUGCAAACAAGUGUCUUCCUCUUUCCUCCUUCGCACAAACCCUGACCCUUUCACCACACAUACGUGCCCGCCCCAGUCCCCGCUUAUCUGUCCUGAAGAGGAACGUGCUUUCUGAGCCCUGAAACCUGUCUUCCCUUAAUUCUGCUGCUCAGAGUGAAGCUUCCCCUGGUGACUGAUGACAGAAAAUUGCUUAUUUCAAGAAACAUGGAACCCCACUUGCAGACAAUGGCCUCCAUUCUGGGUGCUGUUUCAGAGGCUUCUGCCCAGACAGGAGAGCUUAGCGAGUGCUUUGAGGCGAUCCUGAAUGAGGGGGAAGCGGGAAGAACCGAUUCUCUAGAAUCCACCCGGCCACACACACACACAUGCAUAGCCUGGCCCAGAAACCGCACCACGUGACUCAGAUACAUGGGGGCUUCUAAUUACUUCCCUGUCUAAUUCAUGCUAACACAGCAAUUAGCGAUAAAGCUCAAAACACUCAUACACAUUAGCCUGAUGACAUUUAAUUAUGACAUUAGAUGUAUUGAGAUAUGUAGCUUAGCAAGUAAUAAGAAAUCUACAUGUAUGGCCAAUCUAAUCUGUGGUGUUAAAAAAAAAAAAUACAAGAAAGCCAUGAAAUCCUCACUUUGUCAUUAAAAGAAAAUGGGGAAUGGGUACAUUUUUAUGUGAAAUAUGCCAUUUCCUGAGGCUGACUAGGAAUCCGGCCUCCUUGGCCCAGAAAACAUAGCUUGGUCUUUAUUUGUGAGCAAAGAAGAGAAACGAAAGGUAGAUGGUACUUGAUUAUUGCUCCAUACUCUGCCUCCAUCCUGAUUUUUAGUCCCUUAGACCUCAGCAGAAGAAAUAGGGGGAAACAUGACAGUGUUUCGCUGGGAUGGUCCAAGGAUGUGCCACUCGCUUGUGGUUUACAUGGGGCCUGUUCACGAGCAUGAUUAAUAGCUCCGCGACACGGCCAAAAAGCACAUAAAUCUGGCCGUCCGCAGAGUAAUUGACACACUGCUCGUCUGGCAAAUACCUACAGCGCUGGCUCACCGCGGGCUGAUCCCCAGGCGGGCAUUUGGAGCAGCUGAUUAUGCCAUGCACAGUUGCUGACACUACAGUUUGGGGGUCUGUUCCUUAUAGCACCCAAUUAGCUGCUAUAAAGCCCUACUCCCCUUGAUCAACCUUGGCCAGCUGGUAGGGAGCGGCUGAGCGGACACAGGCUUCCACAGAAACUCCACGGGCACACUCAGGCCUGAGCAGAGGGGCCUUGGGGUGGGAACCUCAAGCCCCAAAUUCUGGAUCAAGCUGUCUUUGGGGUUAGCUGGCCAAAUACCCCCGCUUCAGGUCCUCCAUCCAGAGCCCAGCAGUCCAGACCCAGCCCCGCAAGGCAACCAAGCCUCACCUGGGCCUUUCUUCUGGCUCCAUUUCAUCCUCACUUCCAGUUCCUCACCCGUCCUCGCUUUGCCCGUGAGACCUCCCAGCCCCACGGGGCCAGGCUGCAUGAACUUGAAAACUUCAUGCCUCUGUGCUGUUCCUCCAAAGUCUCCCUUUCUAUGAAAAUGUUUAAACAAACCGACCUGACAGAGCACAGGAGCCACUGUGGAGAGUAAAGAUUACAUAAUGAACCCGCCACGAAGCCCUUUGAAAGCGUAAAGUGCUGUAGGAGUAAUUAUUAUCAUUGUUAUUAAUCACCUCGGUUCAUCACAUAUAGUAAACAUGAGAUAAUAAAGAAGGGACUCUUAAAUGCAGCAUCAGCAGCAAGACCCAUUUAUUACAAUGCUAUUUGCUCAGAUUCCAUUACAGUUAUAAAAUUUUACGCUCAUCUAGCACUUUUCAUCCAAGAAUGUCAAAGUGCUGUACAAGCAGAGGCUCUAAUUACACUAAUCCUCCCGACGGGGGCGGGGGGUGAGGGGGGGGGAGAAAGGCCACUUCCACUCGUGUAACUCGCCAUCUAAGCAGAUCCCUGUCCAGGUCCCGGGAGUUGUCCUGCUGAGAGCUACAUCCAGAAACUUCCAAAAUCUGGAAAAGUUCUUAGGUAACUCUUUCUUUUUUUUUAAUUUUUUUUCCCCACAGCAUAUGGAGGUUCCCAGGCUAGGGGUCGAAUUGGAGCUAUGGGCACCUGCCUAUGCUAGAGCCACAGCAACGCGGGAUCCAAGCUGCGUCUGCGACCUACACUACAGCUCAUGGCAAUGCUGGAUCCUUUACCCACUGAGCAAAGAUCAGGGAUCGAACCCACAACCUCAUGGUUCCUAGUUGGAUUUGUUUCCACUGUGCUAUGACUGGCACUCCUCAAGCAGAAAUAAUAAUAAAAUUAAUAGAGACAGAAAGAGGAAUAGUGGUCACAGGGACUGGGGGAAGGGGAGAAUGGCAUGUGUUUAAUGGGUACAGAGUUUCAAUUUGGAAGAUGAAAAAGUUCUGGAGCUGAAAAUGAUGGUUCCCCAACAAUGUAAAUGCACUUAAUGCCCAUGAACUGCAUGCCUAAAAAUGAUAAAAUGGUGCAUUGCAUCUUGUCACGACAAAAAUUCUUUUCUAGUAGUCAAUUUUUUAAAACUUUAAAAGAAACAGGUGAAAUUCACUUUAAUAAUAUAGGGGUUCCUGUCGUGGCACAGUGGUUAACGAAUCCAACUAGGAACCUUGAGGUUGUGGGUUCAAUCCCUGGCCUUGCUCAGUGGGUUAAGGAUCCAGCGUUGCUGUGAGCUGUGGUGUAGGUUGCAGACGUGGCUCUGAUCCUGCGUUGCUGUGGCUGUGGUGUAGGCUGGCAGCUAUAGCUCUGAUUAGACCCCUAGCCUGGGAACCUCUGUAUGCUGCGAGUGCGGCCCUAGAAAAGACAAAAAAGACAAAAAACAAAAAC
rnacentral:lncRNA from 1 species